CUUACAGUAUGUAAUGUAUAGUCUUAUAUCCCAGCAAACAUCAAAUAACAUAUUCUGGUAUAUCAUUGACGUUAAAGACGUUAUUAGUGCGUCAUUAAAACAUCACUUGACAUCAUCGUGUUAACUGAGACCAUAUUAACCUCCCAAUGGGAGACGAUUCAAAAUAAAAAGUGAUGAAGUAGACCUGUCUGAUACCUUACAGUUUAAUGUGGAUGGAACAGAUGUUAUUAUUAAUUUACCUAAAGCAAGCAAUGAAACAGAUCAUAUGAAUGAAAUAGAUCAGACUAUACAUAUAUCAAAUAAAGAAAAUGUAGAAAAUGAAGAUCCGAUAGAAAAAGUUAACUUUACAUGGAAUGAUGUAACAACAAAAUUGUUUUUAGAAAUAUAUAAACGUAAAAAAAAACCUCGUAAACACAAGAAAAAUCAAAACUUUUAAAAUUUUAUGGAAAAAUAUAGCAGAGGAUAUGGGGCGUAAAGGUUAUUCUGUAAUUCCUUUGCAAAUUGAAAACAAAUUGAAGUCUUUAUUACGCUCAUAUAAAAACUUAAUGAGCAAUAAUAAGAAAACUCGCCGUGAAAGAAAAACGUGUAAUUUUGAAGCUGAAUUAACUGAUAUGUUCGGAAAAAAACAUAAUAUAGCACCACUGGCGUUAUCAGGUAGAACUGGCUUGUUGCUUAGAGAACCGCAGUUUUCUGAUGCACAAAAUGAUAUAUAAAUAUCAUAAAAUAUUUAUAAAUGAACUAUACAUAGUUAUAUGUUUUAAAUGAAACAUUUUAUAACACAGAUUGUACAACUCGAUAAAUAAUAAUGAAGAACCUACUAAUACGGUAUUAGAAAUAUCAGCAGUAUAACCGGAGCUAGAAACUUCAAAUGAUAUUCCAUAUAUUAUAAAUGAAAAGAGAUCUUCACAAAAAACGAAAUGUAAAAUUGGUUCAACAGCAGAAUAUUUAAAGAAAUGCCAACUCGCUUUGGAUACAUAUAUCUCAGAAAUAAGAUCUGAAAGACAAAAUAACGAAAACAUUCAAUUACAAAUACUUGAAGAAUAUAAAAAUAUAAGAAAAAUUCAAGAAGAUUUUGUUAAAUGUGCAAAAGAACAGUGGGCUAUAAAUAAUGCACGACAAGUUGAAAGAAAUAGAAUUCUAACAGAAAUUGCAAGUAAUUUUUACAACGAAAACUGUUAAGGUUUCUUAAAGAUUGUUGAAAUAUUAUACGAUUAAAUAUUUAUUUUUUUGUA